rnacentral:rRNA from 1 species
GACGAACGCUGGCGGCGUGCCUAAUACAUGCAAGUAGAACGCACGGUUUAUACCGUAGCUUGCUACACCAUAGACUGUGAGUUGCGAACGGGUGAGUAACGCGUAGGUAACCUGCCUGGUAGCGGGGGAUAACUAUUGGAAACGAUAGCUAAUACCGCAUAAUAUUAAUUAUUGCAUGAUAAUUAAUUGAAAGGUGCAAUUGCACCACUACCAGAUGGACCUGCGUUGUAUUAGCUAGUAGGUGAGGUAACGGCUCACCUAGGCGACGAUACAUAGCCGACCUGAGAGGGUGAUCGGCCACACUGGGACUGAGACACGGCCCAGACUCCUACGGGAGGCAGCAGUAGGGAAUCUUCGGCAAUAGACGAAAGUCUGACCGAGCAACGCCGCGUGAGUGAAGAAGGUUUUCGGAUCGUAAAGCUCUGUUGUAAGAGAAGAACGGGUGUGAGAGUGGAAAGUUCACACUGUGACGGUAUCUUACCAGAAAGGGACGGCUAACUACGUG